rnacentral:misc_RNA from 1 species
CGGCUAUAACAACAUUUCACAAUAACGGCCAAGUUUUCUUUGGACCGGCUUUCAUAUUAAGCUAUAUAACAUGUUCUCUCAGCAUCCAAAAUAUAUCCAGACGAACGUGGUAUUAUAGAGGGGUUCGACUGUAUUUACCUAAGGAUAUAUCCAUACAACAAAGUUUAGGUCAAGAAUCAUGAUAAAACACAAGACAGCAAUGCUAAACAUGAUCUAGACUUGGCCAUCAAUGCUAAAACCUCUAUCUGCAGCAUAAUCAAGAAAACUGUAAAGUGGCAUGACUUUAUCGCCGUAUUUCUCGAGACCAUCUAACUCUCUCUUAGCCUGCGCUCUUAGAUCCUCAGCAACUUUCACAGCCUUCUCAAUGCCAUAAACGCUGACAUAGCUUUUGCCUUUCUUUUUCUUCCCCUCAGUUUUGUUCUCCGUCUUCUUUGCUUCCAAUAUAUCGUCAACAACACGAUAUAAGACACCAACAGCUCGACCGUAUUUUCUCAUGUGUUGGAUCUCCUCAUCUGAAGCACCAGCCAAGAGAGCUCCACAAACGGCAGAGCACUCACCCAUUUCACCAUAUUUCUUUUCUUGAACAAAAUCAACAGCAUUUGGUCCACCCUCAAGGUCAAGGAACUGACCAGCAG